UGGACAGAUUAUUGUAUUCGACUGUAUUCACGGCAUGAAACAGGGGAUUACACUGUUUUUAAAUGGAAAGUGAAUCAAUUAACAUAAUUGACUCCU
rfam:Nicotiana attenuata strain TT chromosome 5, whole genome shotgun sequence.